UGAGCUUCAAGAGUAUCCCCUCUUACUGUU
rnacentral:piRNA from 1 species